AUUGAACGCUGGCGGCAGGCCUAACACAUGCAAGUCGAACGAGUGGCGGACGGGUGAGUAAUGUCUGGGAAACUGCCUGAUGGAGGGGGAUAAAUUCUGGAAACGGUAGCUAAUACCGCAUACCAUCGGAUGAGCCCAGAUGGGUUUAGCUAGUAGGUGGGGUAAAGGCGCACCUCGGCGACGCUCCCUAGCUGGUCUGAGAGGAUGACCGGCAACACUGGAACUGAGACACGGUCCAGACUCCUACGGGUGGCAGCAGUGGGGAAUAUUGCACAAUGGGCGCAAGCCUGAUGCAGCCAUGCCGCGUGUAUGAAGAAGGCCUUCGGGUUGUAAAGUACUUUCAGCGGGGAGGCGUUACCCGCAGAAGAAGCACCGGCUAACUCCGUGCCAGCAGCCGCGGUAAUUC
rnacentral:rRNA from 1 species